rnacentral:rRNA from 1 species
UUUAAUUGGAAGCAACGCGAAGAACCUUACCAGGUCUUGACAUCCCGCUGACCGCUCUGGAGACAGAGCUUCCUCUCGGGGCAGCGGUGACAGGUGGCGCAGGGUUGUCGUCAGCUCGUGUCGUGAGAUGUUGGGUUAAGUCCCGCAACGAGCGCAACCCUUAUCUUUAGUUGCCAGCAUUCAGUUGGGCACUCUAGAGAGACUGCCGUCGACAAGACGGAGGAAGGCGGGGAUGACGUCAAAUCAUCAUGCCCCUUAUGACCUGGGCUACACACGUGCUACAAUGGUUGGUACAACGGGAUGCUACCUCGCGAGAGGACGCCAAUCUCUUAAAACCAAUCUCAGUUCGGAUUGUAGGCUGCAACUCGCCUACAUGAAGUCGGAAUCGC